GCAGGCCCAGGCAGUUCCCACCUGGGCCCGUGCAGUUCAGUGGAGGGGAGAAUCAAAAGAGUGGGAGCUGGGGAGACGUGGAUCCUACCUGCCGCCAAACCCCCAAGUCUGCCGCUGCGCUCUGCCUCCAUCCACAGUGGCCAGAAAAACUAGCACCAGCAAACAGAAGAAACCAAGGAAAGGGAAAGAAACCAAAGGAAAAGAGAAAGAAAAGAUGCAUAAACAUGGCAGAAGCGAUGGUCAAGAUUCCGACUAAGAGGAGAGAGAGGGACAAAGAAACAAACCCCAGAUCCCAAGGACAUUCACGAGCAAAAAAAGGGAAUGUCCCAGUCCUUGAUAAAAGGUAGAAUUACAUUCAAUGUUGUCUGGUUAAAGAUGCAGAAAAUAAUAUAUAGUCCUAGCAUAUGAUUUCUCACUGUAAAAAUGAUGAAAAUCAAAAUUGUAUUGAACUUUGCAGAAGCAUUACCUCAAUCACCUGGAAAAUUCUCUCAUGUGGCCUGCCUUAUUCUGAUGAGAGGAGAUAAUUAAAAAGUUAGUGUACUUUCUUAGUACACUGAGUCACUGUCAAUAUACUGGUUAUAUAUUUAUUCUAUAAAUUCUAUAAAAAAUAUAGAAUAAGCAAUCUUGAGUUCAAAUCCCAGGACUAAAUAAUAUCAAUUAAAUCAGAAUAUGAUUGUCUGAAAGUGAAGUUGCUCAGUCGUGUCCACCUCUUUGCAACCCCGUGGACUGUAGCCUACCAGGCUCCUUGGUCCAUAGGAUUCUCCAUUCAAGAGUACUGGAGUGGAUUGCCAUUUCCUCCUAAGACUGGUCCAAACUGAAGAGCAGGAUGAGGAAGAAAAGAAGAUAAAAUUUGUUUUAAAAGGUCCCUUUGAGGCUUCCCGGUGGUACAGAGGUGGAGAAGCCACCUGCUAAUGCAGGGAGCACGGGCUCAGUCCCUGGUCUGGGACGAUCCUGCGUGCCAUGAGCAGCUGAAGUCCACAAGCCACAACCUCAGAGCCUGUGCUGCAGAGCCCACAAGCCUCAAUUCCUGGAGCCUGCAUGCCUGGAGCCCGUGCCCCACCAAUACUAGAGAAAGCCCGCAUAUAGCCGCGAAGACCUGGCACAGCCGAAAAAGUUCGGCUUUUUGGCCACAAGGCACUUGGGAUCUUAGUUCCCUAACCAAGGGUCCGAGCCACCCUACCUGCAUGGGAAGGCGACGCCUUGAUCGCUGAGCCACCGGGGCCGUCCCACGACUGUCGCGGACUGUGCUUGUUAAGGAGCUCCCAUGAGGUGGUGGCGAGUCGCCACAACCACGUAAUUGGCUACUGUAUUUAGAAAAAGAAGAAAAGAAAAUGUGCUCUUUAACAUUAAAAAAAAAAAGAUUUGAUGGAAGAGGAAGUUUAGACCGUUGGCUACAGCUGAGCGCCGAAGAAUUGAUCCUUUUGAACUGUGGUGUUGGAGAAGACUCUUGAGAGUCCCUUGGACUGCAAGGAGAUCCAACCAGUCCCUUCUGAAGGAGAUCAGCCCUGGGUGUUCUUUGGAAGGAAUGAUGCUAAAGCUGAAGCUCCAGUACUUUGGCCACCUCAUGCAGAGUUGACUCAUUGGAAAAGACUCUGAUGCUGGGAGGGAUUGGGGGCAGGAGGAGAAGGGGACGACUGAGGAUGAGAUGGCUGGAUGGCAUCACUGACUCAAUGGACGUGAGUCUGAGUGAACUCCGGGAGUUGGUGAUGGACAGGGAGGCCUGGCGUGCUGCGAUUCAUGGGGUCACAGAGAGUCGGACACGACUGAGCAACUGAACUGAACUGAAUAAGACCAUAGCACAGGCAACUCUCUUCAGUGCCCUGUGGUGACUUCAAUGGGAAGGGAGUCCA